rnacentral:rRNA from 1 species
UACAGAGGUCUCAAGCGUUGUUCGGAAUCACUGGGCGUAAAGGGUGCGUAGGCGGUCGGGUAAGUCUGAUGUGAAAUCUCACAGCUUAACUGUGAAACUGCAUUGGAUACUAUUCGGCUUGAGAGUUGGAGGGGGGACUGGAAUUCUUGGUGUAGCAGUGAAAUGCGUAGAUAUCAAGAGGAACACCAGUGGCGAAGGCGAGUCCCUGGACAACUUCUGACGCUGAGGCACGAAAGCUAGGGGAGCAAACAGG